GUCAUGAUGCCUGUCUGUUUUCUCAAUGAUAACUUGGCAGAAGACGAGAGAGGCUGCCAGGUUCUCCUCGGGUGGUUACGUGGAGGGAGAAAGAGUUCCAGCUUCAACUGGAAAAAUAAUCAAGAUGUCACCUGAUGCCACAAGUUAACAACUAUGUUCCCAGCUGUGUGGCUUUGCCAGUUCCUGAACCAGCAGAGUAAAGUCGGUAAAGUCAUGGAAAGAACAUUGAACUUGGCAUCAAGACACCUGAGUAUAGAGGCUGCUGGUGUGGCCAGGACUGAAUUCAGCAGAUUCAAAACCCUGUUCUCUCACUGACUCUGAACAGCACCGCUGGCCCUUCGACACUGACUCCUUCCCGUCCACGCGGUGAACAUGACCUGGCGGUGGACCCUACAGAUGCCUGAACCCCGCCCUCAAUCUGCCCUAAUGACUGAACGCUCCCCUCCAACAGCAGAAGAAAAGCAAAGCAGUGAGAAAAGAAAAGGCCGCGCUAUAUUCCUUUGGUACCUGCCAGCCCUUUUCCCGGACAUUCAUCCCCAUUUCCCUUGAUCCCGCACCAUGAAGGCGGGGCCCAUUGUGGGGAUACAAUCCCUGUGCUUCCCUGCACCUUGGCUGGAUUUGAUUCACAAAGGAGAGAAUGUCCGAGUAAACAUCAUAUGGUUGUUAAAAUGACAGAAGCAUUGAAACGAAGGUUGGACUGGAAAGUAAUGUGCACUCAAGCUUUAAUUACAUUGUGUUUCCUCAUGGAACGUCCUAGCCAGGGACUUAAAACACUACAGUUGCGCCCAGCUCACCUUUCCAGCGUUUUCUCGCCCUUCUUCCUGGUAAGGGAGAAAGUGUGUGGGCUUCGGGCUCAGUUGGAUCAUUUAUUCACAUUUCCUGGACAAAUAUUAUAUGCAAAUUACAGCCAUAGGUACUGGGGAUACAAAAAUGAACAAGAUGAAUAAUGAUCAUAAACAAAUGCUGUUCCACUCCUUUGAGGAGCUCACAU